rnacentral:rRNA from 1 species
UACGUAGGGGGCAAGCGUUGUCCGGAGUUACUGGGCGUAAAGCGCACGCAGGCGGUCUCUUAAGUUUGGAGUGACAGUUGGUGGCUUAACUGCCAAAGUGCUUCGAAAACUGAGAGACUUGAGGGCUUCAGAGGGACACGGAAUUCCGGGUGGAGUGGUGAAAUGCGUAGAUAUCCGGAGGAAUACCAAAGGCGAAGGCAGUGUCCUGGCUGGCAUCUGACGCUGAGGCGCGAAAGCUAGGGGAGCGAACAGG